rnacentral:lncRNA from 1 species
AGUAUUCUAACAACUUAUGAUGAACAUGUAUCUCUCUAAAAUAGGUGUGCCCAACAAACAAUGAUUGUGGCAGACUAAAGUAAAAUCACACUAUAAUGCACGAUUCUCCAAGCAAAACACAUAUCAUUAGAUGAAUAAAAAUAUAGCUCCAAGUGACAUACCGAUAGAAUGGAGACGAAAGAGGGAUUGCAUUCCGGGGCAUCCCCAAAUUUACAUGCUUGGGUAUUCAUUGAGUAUUACCUUGGGGUACCAUGGGCAUUCCCAAGCUUAAGAUCUUGCCGCUCCUUAUUCCUUCAUCCAUCGUUGUCUCAAAAACUUAAAAACUUCACCAUUAAAAACUCAAGAGGAACCUUGUGAUAUCCGUUAGU